UGUCAGUCAGAUCUACAGACACUACUGUAGUAGAAAUACACAGAGAGAGGAACAGUACUUCAAUUUUUAUACAUGUCCAAUGCUGAACCGAAUGUAACACCUCUUCAGGUAAAGCAGAAACAGCCUACUGACUGACAACGGAGCAGCUCCACCUCUUUGUGAUGUCAUUUAGUUGAAGUGCUGAAGCUCCACCUGGGAACUGAUCCGGUUCUUCUCAUCCAGGAAACUGGACCGGUCACAGACCAGCAGAGACCGCGGAGUCUGAUCCAGGUACAUUACCGCCACCUUCUGGAUUGGAAUGUGGCUGAGAGCAGUUAGUGUACUAAAACCUUGAAAUUCUCCUACAAAUUUCUGUGCCUUCUAAAAAUCUGGGAUUAGUCCUGUACCCUACAUCACCCGAACUCCUCUGCAACAUGUCUCCGAUGCCUUGUGUCAUGUGAUUACUUUGCAGUCUGAAUUUAAGUACGAUGUUAUGUUGUUAUUUCUCUUUUCCUUGUUGCUCCUUUUGCAUGUUUAUGCGCCAGCUCAUUUCCAUCCACACUAAUAUGUGCAGGAAUCCAUGUGAAUUGAAUUUCUAUUCCUGCCCUCUUAAUUCUGACUAUUGUUGAGUAAAGUUGACUACUAUG